AAUAGCAACUACAGAAUCCAGGGUCGAACCCACUCAAUUAUGCGAUUUCACAUUUCUUUUUUUCUUUUCUCUUCUUCGACUUUAGUUUCCAACUUCUCCUUCUCUUCGUUCACUGUUUUUCUCCAUAGAAAGUAAUGCACUCAAUUAAGCUUAAAUUCUGAAAAAACCCUAUACUAGAAAAAAAAAGUGAUUUUUGAUCAAAGAAUCUCCAACAAUUUUUCUCCUCACCCUCUUUAUUCUAUGCAACUUGAAAAACCCUAUACAAAUGUUGUCCUGCAACUUGAAAAAACCUAUGUUUUAAAUUUUGGGUUUGUCGAAGAACAACAUGAAGUGAGACGCAUGAAUAUUGAUUUGGAAAUUGAAUUAGAGUUUCAACAGCAGUGGUUGGUGAAUUAACAAUUCAGAGAAGCUUAAUGUUUGGUUGGAUAAUAAGAAUCUGAAAGCCCUUCCCGAAACAGAAAAGCUUGAACUCAGUUUUUCAGGCUCCCAAAUGCAAGACAACCACAUCAUAUUAGAGUACCCAAUAAAAAAGGUAAAGCGCCAAAAGGUUUAGGAGCACACAGAUCAUCGAGAGAGUUUUUUUGUUCUGGGAUCUACCAUUAGGCAUUCAUGUGUCAGAAUAAUGAAGAAUGCGAUCGCUUUCAUUGUAAUUUUUAACUUCGUAGGUGAAGUUCCCUUUCGAUAGUUGAGAAUGGUAACAAUAUAUGAAACUGUCUUAUAGGGUCUCUUUUUGAGUUCUCAAAUGUAAUUGGAUGUUUUUGGUUGAAAAAUUAUCUAAUAUCAGAGAACGGAUGGCAGGCGCAUCGCGCGUACGUGUUAUCCUAGUAUAUAAAAA